rnacentral:lncRNA from 1 species
UCCAGAUGCAAGGAUCUCAACCAUAUCAUGCACCUCUCCGUCAUGAUUCCCUACAUAAGAAAGUGUGAGCUUCUCCUUUGUGGCAACCAACCUCGUAUAUCCAAAUUCACCCCCACGGUACAAAGAUCGCAUAGGCUGAGGGAAGACUGGAUCAUCUGGGUGGUCUGGUCUAGGUUGCCAUAUCGGCUGCCAGUCUUGUCCAGCCAUCCCGAUCACAAUAUGAACCGGAAAUGCCUCUGAGUGCUCCCCAUCCAUGCCCAUGCUUCCACAUGUGAAAUUAUUCAGUGGGCAGAACCUCUCAUAUCUAUGGACAUGACCCCAUAAUGCAAGAGUCACAUUGUUUUCCACAAACAAAGGUUCCAAGUGCUCAAGCAUUCUAUUCCUCAACGGGGCAUCUCUGUUUUCAUUGCUUGUAGUGUACAUUGGCCUGUGCCCUUGGACUACAACAAAUGGGGUCUUCUUCCGAUCAACUGACUCUAGAUCAUGCUUUAUGAAGUUAUAUUGGUUACUUCCCCAAAGGAAAUUGGUCUCGGUUGAUAUGUAAACAAAAUGUACCACCCCCAUAUCAAAUGAGUAAUAGAGAUUUCGAGUGGCUGGAGCACGGGUUCCAGUUGGCUCUAAUGAGUUCCCAGGCAUGUGAAAUUUAAGGCUGUAGGGUACUCCACAUUCACCACCACCAUCGGUCCCAUAAACUGUGUAUGACCAAUCAGGUUUCCAAGGCUGCAACGGCCAAUCAUACUCAUGAUUGCCAAUGCAGACAUGAUAUGCUACUCUGGAAGCAACAGGCUCAAUAAGUGCGAAAA